rnacentral:tRNA from 1 species
GUCCUUUUAACUCAGUGCUAAAGUAUGGACAUGGUAAGGCCUAAAUCGUCGGUUCAAAUCCGAUAGGGGGUU